GUGGGGAAUUUUCCGCAAUGGGCGCAAGCCUGACGGAGCAACGCCGCGUGAGGGAUGAAGGCCUCUGGGCUGUAAACCUCUUUUCUCAAGGAAGAAGAACUGACGGUACUUGAGGAAUAAGCCACGGCUAAUUCCGUGCCAGCAGCCGCGGUAAUACGGGAGUGGCAAGCGUUAUCCGGAAUUAUUGGGCGUAAAGCGUCCGCAGGCGGCCUUGAAAGUCUGUCGUUAAAGCGUGGAGCUUAACUCCAUUUCGGCGGUGGAAACUACAAGGCUUGAGUGUGGUAGGGGCAGAGGGAAUUCCCGGUGUAGCGGUGAAAUGCGUAGAUAUCGGGAAGAACACCAGUGGCGAAGGCGCUCUGCUGGGCCAUAACUGACGCUCAUGGACGAAAGCUAGGGGAGCGAACGGGAUUAGAUACCC
rnacentral:rRNA from 1 species